rnacentral:rRNA from 1 species
AGGGCAUCUGGUGAAUGCCUUGGCAAUCAGAGGCGAAGAAGGACGUGAUACACUGCGAAAAGCCGUGGGGAGUUGUGAAUAGGCAUUGAUCCGCGGAUCUCCGAAUGGGGAAACCCACAGAGUAAUCUGUAUCAAUAUCUGAAUCUAUAGGGUAUUGAAGCGAACGCAGGGAACUGAAACAUCUAAGUACCUGUAGGAAAGGAAAUCAACUGAGACUCCGAGAGUAGUGGCGAGCGAAAUCGGACCAGCCAAUUUGCGAUUAGAUAAGAACCGGAAGUGUCUGGGAAGGCACAUCAUAGAGGGUGAUAGUCCCGUACGGGUAGAAAGUUUAAUUGUAAGAGAGUAGGGCGGAGCACGAGAAAUUCUGUCUGAAGAUAGGUCGACCACGAUCUAAGGCUAAGUACUACUGAUUGACCGAUAGUGAACCAGUACCGUGAGGGAAAGGUGAAAAGCACCCCGACAAGGGGAGUGAAAGAGAACCUGAAACCGGAUGCCUACAAGCAGUCGGAGGGGCAUUAAGCCCUGACGGCGUACCUUUUGUAUAAUGGGUCAGCGAGUUAGUUUAUGUAGCAAGCAUAAGCCGAUAGGUGGAUGCGUAGCGAAAGCGAGUGUUAAUAGCGCGUUAAGUUACAUGAAUUAGACCCGAAACCGAGUGAUCUAGCCAUGAACAGGUUGAAGGUUGGGUAACACCAACUGGAGGACCGAACCCACUCCCGUUGAAAAGGUAGGGGAUGAUUUGUGGCUAGGGGUGAAAGGCCAAUCAAACUCGGAAAUAGCUGGUUCUCCGCGAAAACUAUUUAGGUAGUGCGGCAAGCGAAUACCUUGAGGGGUAGAGCACUGGAAGAAUGAGGGGGGAGCGAUCCUUACUAAAUUUUACCAAACUCCGAAUACUCAAGAGUAAUACUUGCCAGACAGACAGUAGGUGCUAAGGUCUAUUGUCGAGAGGGAAAGAGCCCAGACCGUCAAUUAAGGUCCCUAAAUUAUGGCUAAGUGGUAAAGGAAGUGAAUUGUCCAAAACAGUCAGGAGGUUGGCUUAGAAGCAGCCAUCCUUUAAAGAAAGCGUAAUAGCUCACUGAUCUAAUUAAGACGAUUUGCGCCGAAGAUGUAACGGGGCUAAAGCCAUAUACCGAAAUUACGGGUUUGUACUAAGUACAAGCGGUAGCGGAGCGUUCUGUAAGCCUGCGAAGGUGUUCCGUAAGGAAUGCUGGAGGUAUCAGAAGUGAGAAUGCUGACAUGAGUAGCGAAAAGAAGUGUGAGAGACACUUCCGCUGAAAGUCCAAGGUUUCCUGCGUAAAGCUAAUCUGCGCAGGGUUAGUCGGCCCCUAAGGUGAGGCUGAGAAGCGUAGCUGAUGGGAAGCAGGUUAAUAUUCCUGCACCAGCUAGGAGGUGACGGAUUUCAAAGAUUGUAACUGAUUAUUGGAUUUCGGUUGCAGUUCAGAAGUUCCAGGAAAGAGCCCUAGCAUAGACCGUACCCCAAACCGACACAGGUGGACAGGUAGAGAAUACCAAAGCGCUUGAGAGAACUAUGUUGAAGGAACUAGGCAAAAUGCUUGUGUAACUUCGGGAUAAGCAAGCCCCAUUUUUAGGCAACUAAAGGUGGGGGGCACAUACUAGGGGGUAGCGACUGUUUACUAAAAACACAGGGCUCUGCUAAAUUGAAAGAUGAAGUAUAGGGUCUGACGCCUGCCCGGUGCUGGAAGGUUAAGGAGAGAUGUUCACGCAUUGAACUGAAGCCCCAGUAAACGGCGGCCGUAACUAUAACGGUCCUAAGGUAGCGAAAUUCCUUGUCGGGUAAGUUCCGACCUGCACGAAUGGCAUAACGAUGGCCACACUGUCUCCUCCCGAGACUCAGUGAAGUUGAAAUGUUUGUGAUGAUGCAAUCUACCCGCGGCUAGACGGAAAGACCCCAUGAACCUUUACUGCAGCUUUGCAUUGAACUGUGAACCGAUUUGUGUAGGAUAGGUGGGAGGCAGAGAAGAGGCCACGCCAGUGGCCUUGGAGCCGACCUUGAAAUACCACCCUGAUUUGUUUGCGGUUCUAACCACGGACAGUGAUCCUGUCUUGGGACCGUGCAUGGUAGGCAGUUUGACUGGGGCGGUCUCCUCCUAAAGGGUAACGGAGGAGUACGAAGGUACGCUAGGUACGGUCGGAAAUCGUGCUGAUAGUGCAAUGGCAAAAGCGUGCUUGACUGCGAGAGCAACAACUCGAGCAGAUGCGAAAGCAGGUCAUAGUGAUCCGGUGGCUCUGAAUGGAAGGGCCAUCGCUCAACGGAUAAAAGGUACUCUGGGGAUAACAGGCUGAUACCGCCCAAGAGUUCAUAUCGACGGCGGUGUUUGGCACCUCGAUGUCGGCUCAUCGCAUCCUGGGGCUGUAGUAGGUCCCAAGG